CAUACUAAAAAUUAUUUGUUGUAAAACUGAAAUCCAAAUUUAACUGGGUGUCUUGUAUUUUAUCUGGCAGUCCAAAGCUGCCGUGGAAGCAGCUGCAGAGGAGAAAUGUUUCACAAAGCAAGGCAAAGAAGGGUGGCAUGGGGACCCAGACUCCAUUUCAGAGCCCUGCCGCCUGAAUGCCUUUUGUCUGCUCUUUGUCUUCAACUCUCCUCUUAAAUGUUUCUUCGUCUAAAAAGCCUUCCUUCUAUUACCUACAAUCUAGAUCAGUAGCCUCUCAAAUCAUCCUAUACUUUUGCUUUAUAGCAUUUGUCACAAUUUUAAAGUUAUGUAUUUCUGUGAUUAUAUCUUGAAAACUCAUGUUCCCCACUAAACUAAUAUAUAGUGACUGUUUUCUUCAAUGCUGUAUGUACCCAGUAGGUAGUAAAUAGUAGGUGCUCAAUAUAUCUGUUGAAUUAAUUUAAUUAUCUCAAUCCUGUCUUAUCCAAAUGGCUUUCUACCAUUUGCUGAUAGUACUACCAGCUGGAGUACCAAGUGUGAAGUGAUAAAAGCUAAAAUUAGAGGACCAAACCAGGGCUAAUUCGUUCUGUCAUGUCAAAUAAUUUGAAAUUUUUUUUAAAUCUUAAAGGUCCUAGGGAGCCAUUGAUCUAAUACAUUUUCAGUCAAGAUGUCUUCCAGGUUCCUGGCAUGAGCCAUGAAUGGAUGGUGGGGCUAAUUACUGGAGUGGGAAAAGGAAGAAGGGGAGUUCGUAAAAAUAACAUGGAAGCUGGUUAGAGGGCAGAAGAUGAAAGCUAAUGAUUUCUGCCUUUGAAAAUGUGGAGCUUGGACAUGUGUGACAUUCAGGUAGAAAUAUCCAGUGGGUAAUGAUAGGGAAUCUGGAAGGGAGAUCCAGGCUGGAAGAGAGACGAGAGUCACCAGCCUUUAGGUGGUAAUUCAGCCCAUGGAGUGGCAGUCACCCAGAGAGAUGCCAGAGUGAGAAAAGGACUGAGGACAGAACUCGUAGGUCCAUCAAGCUUUAGGAGGGUAGAGACACAGAAGUUGGCAAAGGAGAAUGAGAAGGAGCUCCCUGACAGGCAGGAGAAAUACCGAAAGUCCAUGAUGUAGAAAUCAAGGAAGAAAAAAUUCAAGGAAAUAGAAGUAGUCAAGAGCAGAGAGAAGUUGGUGAAAAAAAAGGUUGUGGAAAACAAGUCCACUGGAUUUAGCAAUAAGGAAGUAAUUGGUAACAUUGAGCAUUUUCAGUGAAGUAGUGGGAGCAAAAUGUGAACUGCGGUGGGUUAAGGACUGGGAAGUGAGAUAGUUAUCAGGAGCAGACUGCCUUCCCAGUUCAUUGGGCUGUAGAGAGAAAGAAGAGAAGAAAGAGGAGAUGGGCUUAAGAAAGCAAUAUUUUUUUAAAUGUCAAUAUAAUAAACUAUGAAUAAAUCAUAAAAGUAAAUGACUGCUAAAAAAAAUAACCCCACUAUUCACCCAUUUGGAAAUACACAACAGAAAACAUUCAUCUCUGUUUUGUAUUUAAAAAAAAAAAAAAAAAAAAACUGGAAGGGAGUUCCCUGGUGGCACAGCAGGUUAAGGUCCAGAGCUGUCACUGCUCUGGUCUCGGAUUGUUGCUGUGGCGUGGGUUCAGCCCCUGGCCUGGGAAUUUCCACAUGCUGCAGGCUUGGCCCCCAAAAAAAUAAAUAAAUAAAAAAUAAAAAUGGAACCAAGGUUAAAGAAUACAUUUGUGUGCGUGUGUAUAUUGUUUCUCUAGGAUCUUUGGGAUUGAAUGAUGGAUUAAAGAAUGUAAAUUGUAAAACUUGUAUUAUAUAUUGUCAAAUUGCCCUCUUAAAAAGCUGUACCAUUUUAUACUCCAACCAAUAAUGUCCAAAAGCGCUCAUUUGCCUCUACUUUUACCAAUGCUGAUUGUUAUUAAGCUUUUAUUUUUGCCAAUCUGAUGCAUGUAUCAUGAUCUCCUUCGUUGUAUUUCCCUGAUUGUAAGUAAACUUAGUUAUCUUUU
rnacentral:lncRNA from 1 species